rnacentral:lncRNA from 1 species
CAGACCCUAACCCUUAUUUGUGUGACCCAGUUAGGUUCAAUUCUGUAUGGUAAUGAGACAUGUCGUGAUCUCAUCAUCGACAUCAUCGAAACUCCUUUCGAUGGACGAGAACUUUUCUGAUUCAGACAAUUAGAAUGAUCGAUCAUCAAAAUCAUUCUAAUUGCUCUCAAAAUCCACCAGUGACACCUAGCAGUAUAUGGUGGCAAUCCAUC